ensembl:lncRNA
GUCUUCACAAUCUAGAAAGAUAUAAUAUUCAACUUAAAUAGUGCAAAAAGAUGUGGUAGAAUGAUGAAGAAGUAUGUAUUAUGAUGUUCAAGUGAUAUUAUAAUCUCAACUUCCAAUUCAAAUGAAACGUAUUUUUACUAAACUCUUUUACUCACAACUUUUAAAAUAUACAUUUUUGCUUGUGUUAUAAUUGGAAGUGAAAAUGGGACACAAAAGCAUUUAUAUAGGAUAUAUAUAUGUACGUAUAUAUGAUGAUCACGGCAAUUUUUUUUUAACUGCAUGAAUAAAAACCCAAAAGGAAAUGCCGUGAAGUUUUAUUAAUGGUUAUCUUUUGAUGGUGGGCAGUUUGAUUGUAAUGUAUUCUGGUGUUGUAAUUGUCUCUCUCUCUCUUUNNNNNNUUUUUUUUUUUUUUAAGGUGUGGGGUAAGGAUUUUUUUUUCUUCCUUUCUCCUUUUUAACAUUUUCAACAUCUUCUCUAAUAAGGAUGUAUUUCUUUUAUAUUGACCAAAUGAAUUAAAAACUCUACUUUUGAAAGUAAGUAUUUAUUUCCCACACUGUCACUUGUGUUUACUAAGUACAAUAUUUGCUUUCUUUAUGCUCCUCCUGAUUGUUUGGGAAGGCGGUAUGAGCAAGAGUUAAAUGCCAAAGUGGCUGAUGAGAUGCAGCAACCUGCUCUGCACAGUGUUACCAGGAAGCGCGGAUCAGAACAAGGAUCAAAGACACUUUGCUCUUCAAAGAUCUCAGAGGCUUCUGGGACUAGAGUCUUGUCAUGCCUUCCACCUAACACCAACUCUAUAGAAAUAUGAUUUCAUUACCACAACUAAGUGGCCUCAUAUCAGGUGAGAGAAAGACCAGCUAGACCAGAGAAAGCUGCCUGACCCCCUUGAGUCCAUCACUGAAGACUGGAACUCACAAACCUGUGCUCCCCUGGUAUGUGAAACGUCCCUUCGUGAGCCCAAGAACCAGGCUACCCCACGGCUGAGGUCCUGCAGACUAUCUGGUGGGGUUGGACCAGGCGUCAGUAGAUAAAGUAGCCUGCCUUUUCUCCGACAAGCCCAGCUGCCCUGCCUGCUAAUUGUGGAGCAAACAGAAAAUGUCAACUAGUUAACUUGAAACAUAUGUCACUUUAUUUGGCCAAUUGUUUGGUUUAAUUAACAGACACACUUCCGGACACAUUUGUCUCAUUUAUUUUCAGUCUAACAUUGAAUCUUAAUUCAGUCCUUUUAAACGAUGACAAAGGAAUGGCUUUGCAAUUUGCCUGUUUUCCCAAAAAUCUUUCUAUUACUAUAAAUAAAUAUAUUUAUAUCUAUAAAUAUAUGAGACAGAACCAUGGUUACUAUUGAAUACAACCAUUGUCAUUAUUAUGUCAUCAUAGUACAUAGCAUAGUGCAGGGCUAGUAAUUGGUAACCUGCUCCUAGGGAAAUGUUUAUGUUAACCUUCCCUCUACCCACCCACCUUGGCUUUCUGAGGUAAAAGUAGAACCCACUAUGUCUCAAUGAUAUGAAUGAUCAUUUUGUAUGCGGGGAUGACAUGCUAUAACUAUUCCUUCAGUAGAUUUAUGCUUCAACUUGCUUUACAGGUUGUAGUAGCCGUUUGCCCUAAUUUAUCAACAUUCUGCCAUUAGGGUCUGUAUUAGCUACAGUUCGUCAGUUGUACACAAGGGAAACAGACUCUGGAAAACAUGAGUAGAAAAUUAAUGUUUUAGAAGGAUAGUGGGUAGCCGACAGAACUAAUGCGAAAGCAAGGGAAUCUUCCUAGAGAAGGACAGGAACCAGGACAUCUCUAGAGGUGUAGGUGGCAGGAAGCCCUUGACAGUCUGAGGGUACAGCUGCUGGGACAAUGGGCGCCAACCAGAUUUUCAGUGUCUAGGUCACAUCAUUCAAGAUUCAUGUCCCCGGAGAGCCUGUUUGCUUAGCUCCUUGAGCGUGGGAGAACAAGACAGUUUGAUUUAUAGUCCCACCAAGACUAUACACAUGGCGGCAAGAUAGUUUCCCAGUCAGAGUGCUGUUCCCAGAAUAAGCCUGUGUGAUACCAGGGCUCUAAGCCCAGCUGUCCAGUUACUCUCGUCCUGAGUGUCCCAGGGACCUGCUGUCCUUCAGUGAUUCUGCAGCUCUCCUAGAGUUGGCUUUGAAUUCUCACCACUUCUCCUGGUCACCAGGACCACCACCUGUCAUUGUCCUCCACCACCGCAGCUGGGACUUUGGAUGUCAUGAAAAGGUUUCCCACAAUUAUAACUUUUAUAGCCAGUAGGCGAGACAUUUUGCCUACAGAGAAUUGAUAGUUCUGUUUUUAGGCCCCCAGAAUGCCAUGUGGAUCUUUCAGUUUUCAGUUCUCCGAGUGAGCUCCCCAAGUGAGAGUGUUUGAGUGCACUCCUCUGUAUCACCCUCAGGAAUACUUCUCCCUGACAAAACCGUCAGUAUCCUAACCUGAAGCACUCUUCAUCUUAUUCUAACCAACAUCAGGGUGAAUUCUUUUCUUCAGCCUGCUAGUCCCUAUUCAAAGGUUCUCCCAGGCUUAUCCACCCACCCUACUUCUCCACUCAGUGUUUCAGGGAUUGUAUUAGUCCCAAAGUCUUCCCUACCAUUUCUCUCAUGAAAUGAGGACUCCUGGUGUCCCAGAGAAAUGCAAAUGAGGUCCCUAAUGUGACAGAGUUUAAGUGUCUGCUUAUGAUAGGGUGUGCAAGGCAUGUACAAAUAAGAGGCUCCAUUUUGUGUUUGGGAAGCUCAACUUAGAUCAUUGGCCAGGAUACAUGGUGGGAGUUGGGAUCAUUUUAGUGGAGAUGAAUUGCUUGGAACUCCAGCUUGAAUCCUGUAGCAACUGAAAGCAACUAGUCUGCCCACCACCACAUAUGGGGACAUUCUGAUAAGAAUCAGCACUGUGGGAAUAAGGUCAAGAGUCCAGAGGACUCCCAGGGCUGAGGAAUAUGUGUUACUGGCACUAAAACUCUAAAUGCACUUUCCCACAGAAAUACUGUUAUAAAUAUCGGUCAGGGUCUUUAGUAGUAUUAAUGCAGUAUUAAGGUACAUUAGGGUUCCGUAAACUUUUGUGCCUGGCCUUGAGGGCAGAGCCACAAUUUGUAAUAUUGUUUCCAUAGGAAAACUUGUUCCCAGUUCCAGACAACAGACCAACAAAUAAGCUAACAAUCUGGGAAUUG